ACGAGACUAAUUUGUGACACUAUUACCUUGUUAAAUCUAGUUUUGGAAAUAGCAACAUUAAGCUCCUACGCGGUGUAUCAGGCAAACACUUACGUCAUCAGCCAUUAUUUCCGACAUCAUCGGAGCGCUUUUGAACUCAUCACUGUCAAAAUCACUGUCAAAAAUCCAUAUAAAAAUUUCGCGGGCAAAAGUCCAUCUCGCGCAAGCAAAAGUCGGUGAUUUGCCUCAGUCCUGUGAAAGCUGACAGAGAAAAUGGCAUUAAAGACGCUUUUGACAACAAAGCCUCCAACACCCUAUUUUCGCCCCCCGCCAAUCCACCUAUGUGUGGUGUUGGUGGUGGAGCAGCCCAGGGUGGUGGCCUGGGAGUUUGACGCAAAUGGUGCGAGACCAGCACAGACUAAAAUGAAUAUUCUGGCCGCAUUAACAGAUGGGGAUUCAGUGGCCAAGGUCACUGUAUUCGAGGAGUUUGGAAAAAGAUUUAAGGAGGGUGGCAGUUAUAAUGUGAAGGGGCUGUCUCUGAGAGGGCAGUCCCCCCCAUAUCAAUUAAACAUUACCAAGGACACGCUGUUCUUUAGGAGCGCUCCUAUAGCGCUCAGCGCAGCGCUCAAACGUGAAGCAGAGCUUCUAAUACACCCCCCCUCUCCACUGACUCCGCUGAGCACCUGCCGGGAAGCCAG
ensembl:lncRNA